AUGACCGUCUCUACCAUCCUCACCCUGCAGCAGACAGAGAGUCAGAGACAGAAAGUCAGAGACAGAGACAGAGACAGAGACAGAGACAGAGACAGAGACAGAGUCAGAGACAGAGAGUCAGAGACAGAGACAGAGAGUCAGAGACAGAGACAGAGACAGAGAGUCAGAGACAGAGACAGAGACAGAGAGUCAGAGACAGAGACAGAGAGUCAGAGACAGAGACAGAGACAGAGACAGAGACAGAGUCAGAGACAGAGACAGAGACAGAGACAGAGAGUCAGAGAGUCAGAGACAGAGAGUCAGAGACAGAGAGUCAGAGACAGAGACAGAGACAGAGACAGAGAGUCAGAGACAGAGACAGAGACAGAGACAGAGAGUCAGAGACAGAGACAGAGACAGAGACAGAGAGUCAGAGACAGAGACAGAGACAGAGAGACAGAGAGUCAGAGACAGAGAGUCAGAGACAGAGACACAGAGACAGAGACAGAGACAGAGAGUCAGAGACAGAGACAGAGACAGAGAGUCAGAGACAGAGACAGAGACAGAGACAGAGAGUCAGAGAGUCAGAGACAGAGAGUCAGAGACAGAGACAGAGACAGAGAGUCAGAGAGUCAGAGACAGAGAGUCAGAGACAGAGACAGAGACAGAGAGUCAGAGACAGAGACAGAGACAGAGACAGAGAGUCAGAGAGUCAGAGACAGAGACAGAGACAGAGACAGAGACAGAGAGACAGAGACAGAGAGUCAGAGACAGAGAGUCAGAGACAGAGACAGAGACAGAGAGUCAGAGACAGAGACAGAGACAGAGACAGAGAGACAGAGACAGAGAGUCAGAGACAGAGUCAGAGACAGAGACAGAGACAGAGUCAGAGACAGAGUCAGAGACAGAGACAGAGACAGAGACAGAGAGUCAGAGACAGAGUCAGAGACAGAGACAGAGACAGAGACAGAGACAGAGUCAGAGACAGAGACAGAGACAGAGACAGAGUCAGAGUCAGAGAGUCAGAGACAGAGACAGAGACAGAGACAGAGAGUCAGAGACAGAGUCAGAGUCAGAGACAGAGACAGAGACAGAGUCAGAGACAGAGUCAGAGACAGAGACAGAGACAGAGACAGAGAGUCAGAGACAGAGUCAGAGACAGAGACAGAGACAGAGACAGAGACAGAGUCAGAGACAGAGACAGAGACAGAGACAGAGUCAGAGUCAGAGAGUCAGAGACAGAGACAGAGACAGAGACAGAGACAGAGAGUCAGAGACAGAGACAGAGACAGAGAGUCAGAGACAGAGACAGAGACAGAGACAGAGAGUCAGAGUCAGAGACAGAGACAGAGACAGAGAGUCAGAGACAGAGUCAGAGUCAGAGACAGAGACAGAGACAGAGACAGAGUCAGAGUCAGAGACAGAGAGUCAGAGACAGAGACAGAGACAGAGACAGAGUCAGAGACAGAGAGUCAGAGACAGAGACAGAGACAGAGACAGAGUCAGAGACAGAGUCAGAGACAGAGAGUCAGAGACAGAGUCAGAGUCAGAGUCAGAGACAGAGAGUCAGAGACAGAGACAGAGUCAGAGACAGAGACAGAGACAGAGUCAGAGUCAGAGACAGAGAGUCAGAGACAGAGACAGAGACAGAGACAGAGACAGAGUCAGAGACAGAGAGUCAGAGACAGAGACAGAGACAGAGUCAGAGACAGAGUCAGAGACAGAGAGUCAGAGACAGAGUCAGAGUCAGAGUCAGAGACAGAGAGUCAGAGACAGAGACAGAGACAGAGACAGAGUCAGAGUCAGAGACAGAGAGUCAGAGACAGAGACAGAGUCAGAGUCAGAGACAAGAGUCAGAGACAGAGACAGAGAGUCAGAGACAGAGUCAGAGACAGAGACAGAGAGUCAGAGACAGAGUCAGAGACAGAGACAGAGACAGAGACAGAGACAGAGUCAGAGACAGAGACAGAGAGUCAGAGUCAGAGACAGAGAGUCAGAGACAGAGACAGAGAGUCAGAGACAGAGACAGAGAGUCAGAGACAGAGACAGAGAGUCAGAGUCAGAGACAGAGACAGAGUCAGAGACAGAGACAGAGACAGAGUCAGAGACAGAGACAGAGAGUCAGAGACAGAGACAGAGAGUUAG
rnacentral:lncRNA from 1 species